UGCAUACUGCUUUGACAUCGACAUCUUGAACGCAUAUUGCGGCCAUGGGUUAGCCUGUGGCCACGCCUGUCCGAGGGUCGGCUU
rnacentral:rRNA from 1 species